rnacentral:lncRNA from 1 species
GUGGAGCGGGAGUACGCCCACUAGAAAGCAGCAUGCUGCCAGACCACCACAGGACCCUAGAGGCCUCAGCCUGCUGUGACAAGGGCCCGGGUGGUGACAUAUGCUUCAAGCUGCCUGACUGAAUACAGGGGCCUUCAGCUGUACCUUCCCUUUGAUUACAGCAAGAGUCUCCUUAUUAAGUCUUAUAGCCAUUUAACAUGUACUUUAUGUAACCACUCAAAUUCUUACAAACUUAUACGAAUACAUGAACAGACUUAUAUUCACUUGCCUCUGGCUGCGUUUACAGGCAGCCCAAUUCUGAUAUUUUUUCCACUAAUUGGUCUUUUGACCAAUCCCAGAUCUUUUCACAUUGGUUCAUUUUUCAGAGCUGAUUCAUCAAAAGACCAAUUGGUGGGAGAAAAGUGUCAGACUUGGGCUGCCUGUCUAAACACAGCCUAUUUGUCCUAUUCUUCAGGCUUGUCUGGGAUAUAUAUAUAUUUUCGUUGGCACACCUGUGUGAUAUCUUUUAUAUAUGAAUAAUACUUUUUUCACCCUGGAUAUGAGACUUGCUUUGAUUUUUAGACCUCUUUGAAUCAGAAGUGCAGUCUUGAUGGAUAAAGUCUGCAUGUUGUCAGAUGUUUAAGUAGUAGUUAGUAGUAUAGUAGUUCGUCAAAAUGAGAAGACCAGGCUGAAACAGUUGUGGUUUUGUAUUUUUUUUAAAUGAACAUGAGUAGUUUAUACAAAACUUGAUUGCAUUUGGUGGUCAUCCCUCCCCCAAAUUUGACAAUUUUAAAGCCUUGAUAUUUCCCUGAGGAAGGAUGCAACUUUCUGCUGAUACCUACCACCCAUGUUGUCAACUUUUUUUGAUGUGCUGCUCUAGAGUUCCAUGGCCCAGCAGACUCCCCUGUGGAUGGGAGAUGGACAUGUUUAGUUUUUAUAAAAGUCUGGGUGACUUUUUUUAGAGGGAGGUGAGUGCAUUAGUUUGAGUGAGUACAGUAAGAGAGUUGACAUUGACGAUUGAGGAUUAUAAGUGUGCCUUCCAAUCACACAAAUGAUGCGUAAAAAACGGGGGGCUAGACUUGUUGUGCUGUCCGCCAGAAAAGUUCCAAAGACUAUCCAUCAAC